UACAGAGGUCCCAAGCGUUGUUCGGAUUCAUUGGGCGUAAAGCGCGCGCAGGCGGUUUCUUAAGUCUGAUGUGAAAGCCCACGGCUCAACCGUGGAGGGUCAUUGGAAACUGGGGAACUUGAGUGCAGAAGAGAAAAGCGGAAUUCCACGUGUAGCGGUGAAAUGCGUAGAGAUGUGGAGGAACACCAGUGGCGAAGGCGGCUUUUUGGUCUGUAACUGACGCUGAGGCG
rnacentral:rRNA from 1 species